CUGUAUUUUAUGAAACAUUUACUUUUAUGCCAUUGGUUUUAAAUCUUUACAUUGAGCACCAAUUUAAUUUUCUUUUUUAUACCUAAUUUUUAUAUUCUUUUCUUUUCUAUAAUUUCUUCUGUUUUUUCUCAUCAUCAUCGAUCGAUUUCUUCUCCCUUCUCCAUGAUGGUGAAUACUAAGCCACGGCGGAGACAACAGAAUGGUGGCGAAGACUCAACGGCGGCAGAUGCAACAAAACAACGAUGAAGAUGAAACAUCGACGGCGGCAACAACUGAAUUAUGGUGAGGCAGAAUGGUAACGGUGAAGAAGGAAGAACGGAAGCGGUAGAGAAGGCAUAACGGCAGCGGCAGAAGGCAGCAUAACGGUUUCUUCUCUAUUCUCCACGAUUCUCUGAAUAAUUAUUGUCUCUCUUUAUUUUAUUUGUUGAAAUUUGUUUAGUGAAUUCUUAUUAUUAAAUUGCUAGUGAACAAAUUAGGGUUUAUGAACAAAGUUGUUAGAUUAAUUGAUAAACUUAUGAUAAUUUUGAUUGAUAACAACUGUUUAUUGUAAUGUUCAUUGGUUGAUUUGAAUCAAUUAGAUACAUAGGCUGCUUGCAUGUAUUAUUUUGUUUUUUGCGCGAUGUGUGCUAAUGUAUUUGUUUAAAAAUAAAUUUGACUGUGAAUCUCAUAGGUUCAGAACUAUUUCAUCAUAACAAACAAAAUAUAAUUUUUUGCAGAUGGUCAAAUUGAAGAAUAACUAAUUACAACUCUAGCAAUUAUUAGGACAUGGUGUUUGUUAAAAUUGCAGAUGACCAAUUUUUUAUAGUCAUAUGUUUGCUUGUGGUCUUUUUGAUUAUUAUUUUAAUAUAAUACUCAUCAUAUCAUAAAUUGCACAUAUUAUACUCUUGAAUUAUUGGCUAAUGUCUAUCACUUUUCUUAUUUCCAUGAACAUGUGGAUAUUAGUGUAGUUGCUGGAUUGAACCAUUAUCCUGUUGGUGAUCUUUCAGCAACUAUUAGCACGCUUACCAUUGCCUUUGGUGCAGAGACUACACACGAUAUAAUAUCAGGCAAUUUUGCAAAGUAUUAUGUUUGUGUGAGCGACUCAAUGCAUGAUUCCAAUGCUUCAGUUAUUUUGGCUGAUAAAGGAGACUCAUCAAUUAAGGCGUCCUAUGUGCAUCAUCUAACAAUAUCGAAGUUACUUUAUGUUCGCGGUUUCAUCAAUAUGAGUUUUAAGGUUUUUUGUGUCGGAUUCUAGUCAAGGGUUGGUAUGUAGAAUAAUUUUGUGAUUUUAUGUAAUAAAAUUCUGUUAACUCUGCAUUUAUUUGUGUUUUGUUGUAUUUCUGCGUUUUUUUAUUCUGCAGAACGAUUUGUAGAUGAUGAUUGAUUGCUGAAUUAUUGUAAUGUUACAGUGUUGUUGAUUU